CCUACGGGUGGCAGCAGUGAGGAAUAUUGGUCAAUGGGCGCGAGCCUGAACCAGCCAAGUAGCGUGAAGGAUGAAUGCCCUACGGGUUGUAAACUUCUUUUAUAAAGGAAUAAAGUGAGGCAUGUGUGCCUUUUUGUAUGUACUUUAUGAAUAAGGAUCGGCUAACUCCGUGCGAGCAGCCGCGGUAAUAUGGGGGAUCCGAGCGUGAUCCGGAUUUAUUGGGUUUAAAGGGAGCGUAGAUGGGUUGUUGAGUAAGUUGUGAAAUUUUGCGGCUCAACCGUAAAAUUGCAAUUGAUACUGGCAGUCUUGAGUACAGUAGAGGUAGGCGGAAUUCGUGGUGUAGCGGUGAAAUGCGUAGAUAUCACGAGGAACUCCGAUGGCGAAGGCAGCUUACUAAACUGCCACUGACAUUGAUGCGCGAAAGUGUGGGUAUCAAACAGGAUUAGAUACCCUUGUAGUC
rnacentral:rRNA from 1 species